CAAACUCAGAUUUACUCUCGAUCCCGCACACUGCUCGCUCCCAUCUUUCCCCUCUCCCCGUCUUCUCCUGUCAAGUCGUCGCCGCCGCCGUUCCCGCCGCCAGGCCCAACCGCCCCCGUCGCCGGCCGGAAUCUCUCCUCCGCCGACAGAUCCGGCCGUCCCAGGCUGACUCCCGCCGGAUCCCGUCCUCGGCGCGGCCGGUCGCGCGGGGUGAGAGGAGCUGCGACACCAUGGCUUAGAGGAGCUAGGCCCGACGCCCGAGAGACCAUCCCGAGCCAGGAGAAGCACCAGGACGACCGCUCUUCUUCCCCGUCCCGAGCAAGAUAAACAUACAAUCUUAAUGGGGCAUGAUCAUAUCACUCAUAUAGAGAAGCUCACGGCGGAUGGUUCCGUUGCUGACAGGAAAUGUUGCCAGGAACCUGGCUGCGAUGAGAUCGUCAGUGGAAGGGUAAUGUACUGCAAUAGUCACACUAGAGGGCAUUCAUCCCAACAGCUUGGUUACCUCCAGAGUUCACAGAAAACCUCAGAUUUAUACAUGCCCCCUGUUAAAGGCAGACAGUGUACUGAACCCAGUGCCAGUGCAGAGCAAGAUGUAAGUAUCAAGUAUGAGGGGAAUGAUCAAGGCAAACUCAAUGAUAGAUCUGGGGAUACUCAGGGAAACACUGGGCAACUAAUCUUGGGUGGCCCUGACACACUUUGCAAGCACGACAACUGCAAAAAGCAGGCCCAGAGCAACGCAUUGUACUGCAAGCUACAUAGUGGUGGUAGUAAGGGUUGCCUAGUACGGGGCUGUGUGAAAGCUGCACAUGGUGGCACGCCUCUGUGCAUCGGCCAUGGAGGAGGGAAGCGCUGCAUUGUUGCUGGAUGUCCAAACGCUGCAUGUGGCCAGGGCCGUAGCGAGCACUGUGUGAGGCAUGGUGGUGGCAAGAGAUGCAAAUUCGAAGGCUGCGUGAAGGGGGCACAAGGGAACACGGACUUCUGCAUCAGGCACGGCGGGGGAAGGCGGUGCAAAUCCGAAGGAUGCACAAAGAGCGCACAAGGCCGCACGGAUUUCUGCAUCAAGCAUGGCGGCGGCACCCGGUGCCAGUUCCAAGGAUGCAAUUCCAGCGCGAAAUGGGGGACGGACCACUGCUCCGUGCAUCGGAAGAGUUUGCUUGGCGAGACGCCUGAAGCUCUGCCGCUUCCUUCUGCCAAGCGUCGCGGGGCCAAGAAACCCAAAAAGGAAGUAAAGCCGCCGCUUCUGGCCUCCCAGCUGACUGUCACCACUGCCGCGUCUAGUGCUGGGAGCAGCACACCGCAAGCAAAGGGUAUUCUUCAUAUGCCUUCAAACCGUGAAUUGUCGCACAAGAUCGUGAUGGCGGCCGGGCAGGCUGCCAUGGCUCCUGCUCAGGUUUUACCACUGUCCAUGAAACCUCCAGCACUGUCCAUGAAACCUCCAGCGCCACCGUCGGGGACGGAGAAGGAAGCCGCGACGAGCAGCACGACACUGAAUCUUUAGAAAACAUCCAUGGUGCAGGUGACUGCUUGCAUUGCAUGCAGGCCGUCAAUCUCUGAUUACUGUUUCGGACCAAAAACAUCCAUGGCUUUAGGAGGAGACUUGUCCAUGGUAAAAGUUGUUGCUGCCGGCUUGACAUCGCUUUUUUCUGUUUGGUCUUUUUUCCGUCUAACAUGUCAAAUCUAUAUAUUCUGUAAUGGCGCGUGGUGCGUCGUUGUGUGGAAACUGCUUCCCUCGUCGGACUAUAUGAGGUUGUGGACGAUUGGCUAGAAAUCUGCAUCAUCCUGCAAUGGCGUGUGGUGCUUCACUGUGGUUGCCGAGUGCUGACCAUGUGAGAAUGAUAAGACCGUCCCCAACCGGACUGGGCUAGCUUGUCCACGGACAUGUCUGGACAGUGUAUGACCAUGUCUGCUUUUGACUCUCAUUUGUCUGUGCAUCGUAGUCGUGUUCUCCAAAUUGUAUGGGAUUGAGUUAUCCUAAAUACUUGUAGUGCAUCUACACUUUUUUGAUGGCAGCGAGCGCAUCUUGUUCAAGCCGUUCGAUCUCGGCGUGCUCGUGAUGCUGAUUCUUGGAAGGUAAACACAGUUAUGGUGGGGCUGGGUGUACCUUGUUAUUCAAUUACUGGGAAUCUUUUUCUGUUUUGGAGGAACACCUUGUUGUUC
rnacentral:rRNA from 1 species